UUGUCCGGAAUUAUUGGGCGUAAAGAGCGCGUAGGCGGUCCGAUAAGUCGGCUGUGAAAGUCAGGGGCUCAACCCUUGGAAGCCGGCCGAUACUGUCGGACUAGAGUCCGGAAGAGGCGAGUGGAAUUCCCGGUGUAGCGGUGAAAUGCGCAGAUAUCGGGAGGAACACCAAUGGCGAAGGCGGCACUCUGGGCCGGAACUGACGCUGAGGAGCGAAAGCGUGGGGAGCGAACAGG
rnacentral:rRNA from 1 species